ensembl:lncRNA
GUGAGAAAACGGAGGCAUGGGUGACUGAGUAGUUUGUUCAGGGUCUUGUAGCUGGUCCACAGAGACCUCCGGGUGCCCACCUGCAGGCUUGCUGUGAGGAUUACAUGAAAUCAAGAUUGUAAAGUUUCUGGCUCAACAAAUGUCCAUUCCUUCCCAUAAGCAGGCCAACUGGCCUCCCUCCAGCAUAGCCCUGCACGCUCUUAAAAAACUCUGACAUAUCUCGACCAUGAGACCACGGCUGGCCCUUAGCAGGAAGGGGCUGAUGUUGACGUUCCCAGCCCAGUAGGCCGGACCUGGCGGGCAGGUGGCCCAGCGAACGCGUGAACGAUCGCUUCUCAGGACAGGGCCACGUUUUCACAGGACAGACUUGAGUUUGAGCUGAAACAGCUGAGAGAGAGACUUCUCAAGAGAUGGAUGGGUGACCCUGAUCCCACGAAUUCCUCUCUGCCCAGAAAUCCAGCCCCAGCAGGAGCAGGGGGCAGGCCCUAGGGUGAGCAGGCAC